UAUUUGAGGUUUUGGGUAGUUGAAAGCACCAGAACAUAAAAAACAAAAUUUUGUAGAAACAAACAGAACUCUCAAAUUUCAUUUAGGUCCAAUCAAAUAUGGUAUGUGAAGGGUUGGCAUCAAUCACAAUGGGAAUGUUUUAUGAAAUUACAUGAAUAGAGGUUUUUUAAGGCUCAUUAAAGUUUCAGUAUUUGGGGUUUUGGGUUCUGUAAAGCGCUAGAACAUAAAAAAUAAUUUGUGGAGGAAACACAACUCUUAAAACUCGUAAUUUCAUCCAAUCAAAUAUGGCUGCCAAGGCCUGGUGUCAAUCAAAAUGAGACCCAUGUCAAAACGUGAUCUAAAUAUUGCACAAAAUUACAGGAAUAAUAACGUCCUAAAUCUACAUUCAUGUUUCUUCCAGAAGAAUGAACUUUAAACAGGUUUGGAACAACAUGGUGUAACAAAAUGCUCGUUUCAAGGAACAUUAACUCUUUAAACAGAACAUUAAAUAUCUUCAGUUUUUUUUUUUUUUCAGACCAGCAAUGGUAGCUCGACACUGUUUUUUGUUGAAAUGCAGUAGCUUAUCUCAAGCACUCCAUCGGGAGAUCCACGGAUCCACAACGAGAGCGAUCAAUACAGAAGCGAGACCGUUGGAACGGGCCGAUGCAUGAGCGAGGCGCUCCAGCCUGGACGGCGGAGGGUUAAGCGGUCUGUGCGUGGUUUCACGCUGGUGGGCGGCGAGUGGCGUGCCAGCAUCUCCAGCUCCAUCUGUGCUCGCGUUACAGUGCCGACAGCGCUCCAAACACACGUCGUGCUCCACUCGCUCCUCGCAGACGUGGUUUUGUCCUCCAUACACUGAUAAAUCAUUGGCAGAAAGACCAGGAACAGGAUGAAAUGACGAUGGCCGUCCGCCAGUAGGAGGCUGCAGGGGAUCUUGGCUGGCAGAGCCGCCUGUAAUCGCUGCUGAUGGGCCCUUAUUAGCCACGCUUGUCUGUGGACGUCACCAGGGAGCCUGUGUGGAAGGGGACAGGGACACAUCUGCUGAUGCGAACCACAAUCAUCUCACAUGACUGCUGGCCGGCGGCAAACGCCAAACCCACUGCUCAGGUAGACAAUUAGCAGGAGUAUUAUGGGUUUUGUGUUGGCAUGUUCUGCUUUAUUUCAUCAUUUUGAUGUUAGAGCUCGAUAUUGUACGCACACAAAUAUGGUUAAAACGUUAGCUAAACACUAUAACGACAUGACAUUCACAAAGCAGCAUGGAGUGAAAUUAUUUGUGCUGACGUAACCAUAUUUAGGUUGAUUUUGAAGCGCAUUACCAUGAAAAAUAAAAGUAAUCCACUGAGUCCACAGUGGCUCAGAUGUUGGGCGAAAAUGAAGAGACUACUGUUCAGUCUUGCAUCCAAACACCAGGAUUGCUUAUGAGACAUUGUUGACGUUACAGCUGCUUAAGCACAGAGAAAUUGGAGGACAGCGCAUGACUUGCUGAGGGUGGAAACUAUGUCAAUGCAGGGCUGACAAUCAAAG